UCAACACACGGGACUCCUUCCCCAGCUGGCUUUGGGAACGUCCAAAGUCGCCCCCUCCCCUUCUCCGUUCAAAGCAAACCUCCUUCUUCUUCUUCUUCCGUCCGUCCCCUUUCCACUGGUUUCACGCGUCCAGACCCGAUCGAGCAUCCAAAUUUCUCCAGGGAGCAUCCAACUCGGAGCAGAAGAGAUCGCAUCGCCCGACUAGCUAGCUCCGGGCCGAGCAAGCAAGCAAGCAAGCGAUGGCGCCGGUGGUGUCGGCGCUGGCCAAGUACAAGCUGGUGUUCCUCGGCGACCAGGCGGUGGGCAAGACCGCCAUCAUCACCCGCUUCAUGUACGACAAGUUCGACGCCACCUACCAGGCCACCAUCGGGAUCGAUUUCCUCUCCAAGACCAUGUACCUCGAGGACCGCACGGUUCGCCUACAGCUAUGGUAUGCGAUGGUUCCUCGUUGAGCUGGCUUGUUUUGGUUGUAGUAAUAAUAAAAUUCAGUUGUGCUGCAUAUGUCCAGCUGGUUAUUUGUAAACUCUGACACAUCGAUGCUUGCUUAAUUGCCAUAUUCGAGAUUGGGAAACUUUUUUUCAUCACCGUUUCCAUGAGAAAAAGAAAAAAGAA